UGCAGUCGAACGAUGAAGCYCAGCUUGCUGGGUGGAUUAGUGGCGAACGGGUGASUAACACGUGAGUAACCUGCCCUUAACUCUGGGAUAAGCCUGGGAAACUGGGUCUAAUACCGGAUAGGAGCGYCYACCGCAUGGUGGGUGUUGGAAAGAUUUAUCGGUUUUGGAUGGACUCGCGGCCUAUCAGCUUGUUGGUGAGGUAAUGGCUCACCAAGGCGACGACGGGUAGCCGGCCUGAGAGGGUGACCGGCCACACUGGGACUGAGACACGGCCCAGACUCCUACGGGAGGCAGCAGUGGGGAAUAUUGCACAAUGGGCGCAAGCCUGAUGCAGCGACGCCGCGUGAGGGAUGACGGCCUUCGGGUUGUAAACCUCUUUCAGUAGGGAAGAAGCGAAAGUGACGGUACCUGCAGAAGAAGCACCGGCUAACUACGUGCCAGCAGCCGCGGUAAUACGUAGGGUGCGAGCGUUAUCCGGAAUUAUUGGGCGUAAAGAGCUCGUAGGCGGUUUGUCGCGUCUGUCGUGAAAGUCCGGGGCUUAACCCCGGAUCUGCGGUGGGUACGGGCAGACUAGAGUGCAGUAGGGGAGACUGGAAUUCCUGGUGUAGCGGUGGAAUGCGCAGAUAUCAGGAGGAACACCGAUGGCGAAGGCAGGUCUCUGGGCUGUAACUGACGCUGAGGAGCGAAAGCAUGGGGAGCGAACAGGAUUAGAUACCCUGGUAGUCCAUGCCGUAAACGUUGGGCACUAGGUGUGGGGACCAUUCCACGGUUUCCGCGCCGCAGCUAACGCAUUAAGUGCCCCGCCUGGGGAGUACGGCCGCAAGGCUAAAACUCAAAGGAAUUGACGGGGGCCCGCACAAGCGGCGGAGCAUGCGGAUUAAUUCGAUGCAACGCGAAGAACCUUACCAAGGCUUGACAUGUUCUCGAUCGCCGUAGAGAUACGGUUUCCCCUUUGGGGCGGGUUCACAGGUGGUGCAUGGUUGUCGUCAGCUCGUGUCGUGAGAUGUUGGGUUAAGUCCCGCAACGAGCGCAACCCUCGUUCCAUGUUGCCAGCACGUAAUGGUGGGGACUCAUGGGAGACUGCCGGGGUCAACUCGGAGGAAGGUGAGGACGACGUCAAAUCAUCAUGCCCCUUAUGUCUUGGGCUUCACGCAUGCUACAAUGGCCGGUACAAUGGGUUGCGAUACUGUGAGGUGGAGCUAAUCCCAAAAAGCCGGUCUCAGUUCGGAUUGGGGUCUGCAACUCGACCCCAUGAAGUCGGAGUCGCUAGUAAUCGCAGAUCAGCAA
rnacentral:rRNA from 1 species